ensembl:lncRNA
AGCAGUUGCACAGUCUGCAUGUGUGUGUCUGUGUGUGCAGGUGUCCAAGUUUAUUUUUGAAUAUGUACAGUGUGAGUCCAUUAUCAUUCCCCUUGUGCUGCACCCGCCACCACUACCUUCCAAUCUCCAUCGUAUGUCACGGUGUCACACACGCACACACACAGACACACACAGGUGUCCUCAACAAUCCUCCUCAUCGUGUGAAUCUCUCUCUCCUUCUUGUCACUCCCAUCUCUGAGCCCUUUCCCAUCUUGACCUUCACCAAACCUUUUGUUUUUCCUCUUCUUCUCGCUCUUUCUUUCCAGUUCUCUCUCAACCUCCCUCCCAUCCUCUCUCUCUCUCUGUCUUGCAUUCUGUCUCUCUCCCUUUUAUCUUACUUCCUUUCUCACUAAAAGUCUUCCUCUCGCUGUCUGGAAAGAAAUCCGGAUGUGAACGUGUAAUGAGAAAGUUUAAGUCGCUCAAAGAGGAUUGUACCAUAGCGUGUAGUGAGCUAAUCUUCCACACAGUGUGUGUGUGAGUGUGUGUGCGUGUGCAUCUAUGUGUGAUUUUCAGGGAGUGUGUGUGUGUGUGUGUGUGUCUGUUCUUUUAUUUACCGUCAUCACUCCUGUUUGUUCCUGAGAUGUUUCGUCUCAAAUUUAGCACAUUUUCCUCUUUUGUCAGCAACUUCUCGAGUGAAAUCCCACCUGAAAUGUAUUUAAAUGGUCCAAAUGUAUAUUUAUCACAUCAUGAUUAUUAUUUAUGACAAAGACACACAGCCAGGCUUCUAAACCAGAGCUACUCGGUGGUUGGUACCAGUUCAACAUAUCGUCAUGCAGCACACCUUUUCAUAUAAAAAGUUCCCAGAUUACAUUCAUUGAAAACCAAAGAAUACAUUUUAACUUCACUAACUGCAUUCUCCUUAUUUCUCCUCACAGCCCUUUGAAUUGCUUCCGCCCGGUGUUCCCUCGUCCUCUCACCACGUCUCCGUUUCGACGAGAAAUGAGUCAUUUAUAUGCAUGAAUGUGUCGGAGGGACGGGGGGAAUUUGUUCCGUCUCUUGCCAGGACGUUUCUGACCCCUGCACUUCUCACUAAUGAUUCCUUGGAAUGUUGGCAGUGAAAUAACUUAAGCCGAUUGUGUUGUUGCCCUCAUUGUAAACGGCUCUGGGGUAGAUAACAGCUUCCACUUCAUGUCUAGAAUGUAAUUGUGAUGCAGGUGAGGGGCUGUUGGCGCCGAAGGUGUAAAUCACCAGCACAUUGGUUUGGUUCCUCCUGUGGUGAGCAGCUUUCCCCCCAUUUAUAUUCGUUAAGAUACUUGAGCAGUGAAAAGCCAGAAGGAUGCCACAUUUCUUCCAUCCCAAUGAAAUGACUUGAAUGUCCCAUAUUUAUAAUGCCAAUAGAAACAGUAAGAGACGACCUUCAGGGCAGGAAUCACCGAUAUACACACACAUAGAUAUAUAUCUACAUAGAGAUGUAGAUAUAUAUGUCUCUCCGUUUCUUCAAUGUCUGAGAAGGAACUUUGAUGAAUCUCUUUAGAAAUCAACUCAACACGUCAGCAGGUCUGAAAGUUUCCUCUGAAAUACUUUCUGUCGUCUGUCUGAACCCCAAAGUUACACCUCGGUUGUUAUUUCCCCCUCGUGACAAGACGGAGAACACAGCGUGCAGUUAUUACAUCACGUUCCACAUGUUGCAGAAAGUACUGUGAGUCUCCUUUACCGCUGUGACCCCGAACACAGCAGCUCCGCGGUCCGAGGGUUCAAACCGGUGGCCUUUAGAGAAACAGCAUCCACACGGGCCUAAUUAAUACCCCACGCCCCCCCCCCCCCCUCAGUGUUCGCCCCCCUCCAGUAACCCUUGCCCAGCUCGGCGGCUUCCCAAACACAUCCAAUUACCGCCCGUCCAGACGAAUUAAAAGUCAUCUGUCGUGCCAAGGAGCCAAUUAGUGAGGCCGGAAGCUUUCAGCCAAUCACAGAGCGGCGGAAACCGAGGGUGAAGGGGUCCUAAUGGGAGAGGACCACGGGGCGGGCGAGGGGGCGCCAGGCAGAGUGAUGCAGUCUGUGUGUGUCUGUGUGUGUCUGUGUGUGUGUGUGUGUGUGUGUGUGUGUGUGUGUGUGUGUCUCUGCGUUGAUGCAAACGCAAACAAGAUCAUCUGUCAUGCAGCUUAAGCGUUGUGGCGUGCAAACACACACACACACAAGCAGUGAACCAUCGCCAUGGCGAUGAUGGCGCUCGUUUGAGACUCAGCCAGCGAGGGAUUCAGAUCGCUGCCAACCGAGUGAUGUAAAUAAAGACCAAUAUGGACUCUAAUGGUCCGUCCUGGGGUUUCGCUCUUUUGCAUCGUCCCCGUUUUCAAAGUUAAGAGGAAAUGAUCCUAUUUGAAGGCGGUUAAAUGAGACCCUCCCACAGAUCAACUCAUACGUGUGUGACUAGGAUUCCUUCACGUGGUCUGCCAGUGGCAGCAAGGCACGCAGGAAACAACUCGCUUUGUCAAUAUUAUCAAGGCUUCUCUCCUCAAACAGCUUAUCAAAGUAAAUCUGUGGUUCUCAGGAGGUUAGAAACUGAGAGGCCUCGACCUCCGACUGUUAUGGCGCGUUUCCACCGAGCGGUACGGUCAGACCGUACCGCUAACCAUGAUAACCAUGAUAACCAUGAUAACCAUGAUUCGGCGAGCGUUUCCACCGCCAACAGUACCCUUACUUGAUAGGCGUGGUGUAUUCCAGAAAGUAGUGAUCCUGUUCCUGCUUCUCGAUAUGUGGCUGUUUGUCACAAGGAGACGACACUCUUUGUUUGAGCAAAGGCUACACGCUGCAGGCGUGUUACGUGUGUUGUCUACGCGCAAAUGUGUCGCAGCCCUCAGCACUCAUACCCCCAGUAAUCAGAUGUGUGGAGAAAAACUCCCCCCGGUGCUCUGACAUUUCAAUGGCUGCUGCAUGCAGAGAAGCCCCCCGGGAGCGAUGCAUGGAGCAGCUCUUCAGCCGCACUACAGACUCACACACAGACGCACGCACACUUUGACCCACGAGACGCGUGUUCACUAAUGUGCGUGUACGUCCUGCACACGCAAAUACAAUUACACACGCCGAGCGCUUUUAUACGAGUGAACCUGUUCAUUUUAAAGUAGAAAACAGAAAACAAACUGGGGGGGGGGGAGGUGGGGGGGAGUGGAGAGGAGAGAGAAGAUGACGGGUUGCGAGUUCGAAGUCGAGGAAGUUCCAGAGAAGGCGUGAGAGACGAGGGGAAGGAAAGGGAGAGUAAUGCUGAGGACCACUUCACAGCUUC